GACGAACGCUGGCGGCGUGCCUAAUACAUGCAAGUAGGACGCAGUUGCGAACGGGUGAGUAACGCGUAGGUAACUGACUAUUAGAGGGGAAUGACAAUUGGAAACGAUAGCUAAUACCGCAUACUAGUCGCUAGAACGGCGUUGUAAUAGCUAGUAGGGAGGGUAAUGGCCUACCUAGGCAACGAGACAUAGCCGACCCGGAAGGGGUAUGCGCCAAACUUGGACUUAGGAACGGCCCAGACUCCCACGGGAGGCAGCAAGAGUGAAUCUUCGGAAAUGGGGGGAAACCUGGCCGAGCAACGCCGCGUGAGGGAAGAAGGUUUUCGGAUCGUAAAGCUCUGUUGUUUAGGAAGCGGUACUUAACCAUAAAGGGACGGCUAACUACGUGCCAGCAGCCGCGGUAAUAC
rnacentral:rRNA from 1 species